rnacentral:rRNA from 1 species
GAUGAACGCUGGCGGCGUGCUUAACACAUGCAAGUCGAACGAAGCAUUUUACGGAACAUUUUCGGAUGGGAAGGAAAAUGACUGAGUGGCGGACGGGUGAGUAACGCGUGGAUAACCUACCAUAUACAGGGGGACAACAGUUGGAAACGACUGCUAAUACCGCAUAAGCGCACAGUGCCGCAUGGCACAGUGUGAAAAACUCCGGUGGUAUAUGAUGGAUCCGCGUCUGAUUAGCUAGUUGGUGAGGUAAUGGCCCACCAAGGCAACGAUCAGUAGCCGACCUGAGAGGGUGACCGGCCACAUUGGGACUGAGACACGGCCCAAACUCCUACGGGAGGCAGCAGUGGGGAAUAUUGCACAAUGGGCGAAAGCCUGAUGCAGCGACGCCGCGUGAGCGAAGAAGUAUUUCGGUAUGUAAAGCUCUAUCAGCAGGGAAGAAAAUGACGGUACCUGACUAAGAAGCCCCGGCUAACUACGUG